rnacentral:lncRNA from 1 species
GCUUGCUAUUGGGAUCUUCAUGAGUCGCCCAUGCGUUGCACUACUGCAAGGUUUUCCUAAUAACAUGGGAAUGUGUGCUCUGAAUGACUGGGAUGCAUCUCUGUCGCUUUCCUUUUACUUUUGUGGACCAAUAUUGUGCUGAACAGCCUAUUACUUCAACUAUGAUUUAUUUAAUACGUUCUACUGGUACUAGUGAACUUCAGAUAGUUACGCAUUAUUUACUUUCUGAAGACACUGUUGUUUCUGAAACUUGAUGGACUGAGUGUGAAUACUGAAUAGUGGACUUAAGAAUCAUUGUAAUGUUAGACAUUCCAAGUUUAUUUCAGCAAAUUUGAGGCCAUGUACCUUGGCUGUCCUCCAGGGAUUCCACUACCUAAAUGGAAGGACAAAUUACGAACUGCCAUGGAAUCCAUAAUCACAGAGCAGCAAACUCUGGUUUUUACAGGUUUUGGAAAACAUUAGAUUGUCAGAUUCCAUUUAUCCAUGUUGAAAAGGAACCUGCCAGAGGAAAGCCAACAAUUUGUGUAGACCAAGAAUCAUGUACUCAAAUGGCCAACAAUUUGCUGAAAGCUGCGUUGAAAAGCCAACGUCGCCUUAAAUCAGUAGAAACACACAAAGUUAUACACCUUAUAUUAUGUUAAGAACGGAGGAUACGUUGCCUUGAUGGAGAGAACUGUUGUAGUACAACUUAUAGUUCCUUUACAGCCUCGAGUAAUCACAGUUGUCUUCAGAUUGCUUAAUGAAAUCAUAAGCAACAAUAUAAAUACUUUAAUAUUCAGCAUCGAAAGAAAUAUAACCAUAGCACAUAUGCCAGUGGCUUCCAAGAUCACACGACAAAAAAAAACACAAAAACGCCAGGAACCUUUUCAACAAUUUUUGCAGCUUUAAUUUCCUUGAUCUUGAGAAUGGGGAUACAUGGCUCAUGGCUAGGACCGAAUCAUUAGUAGUUAAUCUCUCAAGAUGAAGCAUAGAUUGCAUACUGAAUGUUAGAAGUCUCUGCUCAUCUGUAAUAUACUUUACUGCCGGGGAAUUAGUAAUUCGUUUAGUCCCACAUUGAGAAGCUAUGACAGGUGAACAUCGAGCAAUGGCUAUAAAAAGAAGGCAGAAACAUGUUCUAAAGCAUACCUUUCUCGGCCUUUUGGCUAAGAUCAAGUGUAGUAUCUGUUCUUAUCAGUUUAAUAUCUGAUACGUGAGGCAAUGCCUCACACGAUAUUAAAUUAAUUUUUUUAUAUGGGGAAGGUCCAUCACAAUAGCUUGCUAUUGGGAUCUUCAUGAGUCGCCCAUGCGUUGCACUACUGCAAGGGCCUGGCUCACCCCACCAAAUCAUAUCAUAAAUCUUCUCUGCCAUUAUUACUUUGUGCCUUUUCAGCGUCUGUGAUGAAAAGGGCUUGUCCUGUGUGAUGUAGUUGGUGUAGAACUUGAUACCAAAGCAAACUUGGAGAUUUGGGCUGGAGACAGACUGCAGAGCUGCUGCAGAGUUUUUGAAUGACCAACCAGCAAACAUUGUCAUCCUCUUACAAGGGCCUCGGAUUUGUUUAAUUUAUUUGAAUUUGUUUUAGUAAAAUUCUGUAAUCAAAGUGGUAAUCAGGCUGUUCAUCUCCUUGCGCAGCAUUCUAAUGUAGCUUUUUAAUCAAAGUGGUAAUCAGGCUGUUUAAGUUAGCAUUCUAAUGUAGCUAACUUAAGUCCUAUGCAGUUUAUUUCUAUUCCUGGCAAGGAUUGCAUAUUGUCUGAACAGUUGGACAAGGAUUGCAUAUUAUGUAAUAUUUCAGACUCCUAAACUAUCUAGAGCUAAUUAGCGAUACCCCCGGAAUUCAAAGCAAC